AACCAGCUCUUAGAGUGGUGAUCAUGUUUAUUUGGCUUAAAGUGUGCGUAGCAGGACAGCGUAAGUCCCCUGUGAAAUGCUCGGUCUUAAGCCGAGCGCGGGCAGGGGAUACUGUGCGUCUUGGGACCGGGAUAGGUGUAAUGUACGCGUUGGGUAGGGGUGAAAUCCGAUAAUCCAACGCGGACAACCGGUGGCGAAGGCGUUACACUGGAACGGGUCCGACUGUGAGGCACGAAAGCUAGGGUCGCGAGCCGGAUUAGAUACCCCCGUA
rnacentral:rRNA from 1 species